UGCAAGUCGAGGGGCAGCACGAAUAGCAAUAUUUGGUGGCGACCGGCGCACGGGUGCGUAACACGUAUACAACCUACCUAUAACAGGGGGAUAGCCUUUCGAAAGAGAGAUUAAUACCCCGUAAUAAAUUUGAUGGCAUCAUUAGAUUUUGAAAGCUCCGGCGGUUAUAGAUGGGUAUGCGUCUGAUUAGCUAGUUGGUGAGGUAAUGGCUCACCAAGGCGACGAUCAGUAGGGGAUCUGAGAGGACUAACCCCCACACUGGUACUGAGACACGGACCAGACUCCUACGGGAGGCAGCAGUAAGGAAUAUUGGUCAAUGGAGGCAGCUCUGAACCAGCCAUGCCGCGUGCAGGAUGACGGCCCUAUGGGUUGUAAACUGCUUUUGUACCAGAGAAAACCCCAGUACGUGUACUGGGUUGAUAGUAUGGUAAGAAUAAGCAUCGGCUAACUUCGUGCCAGCAGCCGCGGUAAGACGAAGGAUGCAAGCGUUAUCCGGAUUCAUUGGGUUUAAAGGGUGCGUAGGCGGACUUGUAAGUCAGUGGUGAAAUCUCUCAGCUUAACUGAGAAACUGCCAUUGAUACUGCAGGUCUAGAGUAUAGAUGACGUUGGCGGAAUAUGACAUGUAGUGGUGAAAUACUUAGAUAUGUCAUAGAACACCGAUUGCGAAGGCAGCUAACGAAACUAUAACUGACGCUGAGGCACGAAAGUGCGGGGAUCAAACAGGAUUAGAUACCCUGGUAGUCCGCACCGUAAACGAUGAUUACUCGUUGUUGGCGAUAUGACAGUCAGCGACCAAGCGAAAGCGAUAAGUAAUCCACCUGGGGAGUACGCCGGCAACGGUGAAACUCAAAGGAAUUGACGGGGGCCCGCACAAGCGGAGGANCAUGUGGNUUAAUUCGAUGAUACNCGAGGAACCUUACCUGGGCUUGAAAGUUAGCGACCGGNCCUGAAAGGG
rnacentral:rRNA from 1 species